AGUCGAGCGGCAGCGGGAAGUACCUUGCUACUUUUGCCGGCGAGCGGCAGACGGGUGAGUAGUGCCUGGGGAUCUGCCCUGUCGAGGGGGAUAACAGUUGGAAACGACUGCUAAUACCGCAUACGCCCUACAGGGGAAAGGAGGGGACCUUAGGGCCUUUCCCGAUUGGAUGAACCCAUGUGGGAUUAUCUAGUUGGUGGGGUAAUGGCUCACCAAGGCGACUAUCCCUAUCUGGUCUGAGAGGAUGAUCACCCACACUGGAACUGACACACGGUCCACACUCCUACGGGAGGCAGCAGUGGGGAAUAUUGCACAGUGGGGGAAACCCUGAUGCACCCGUGCCGCGUGUGUGAAGAAGGCCUUCGGGUUGUAAAGCACUUUCAGCGGGGAGGAAAGGUUGGCGCCUAAUACGUGUCAACUGUGACGUUACUCGCAAAAGAAGCACCGGCUAACUCCGUGCCAGCACCCGCGGUAAUACAGAGGGUGCAAGCGUUAAUCAGAAUUACUGGGCGUAAAGCGCACGCACGCGGUUGGAUAACUUAUAUGUGAAAGCCCCGGGCUCAACCUGAGAAUUGCAUUUAAAACUGUCCAGCUAGAGUCGUGUAGAGGGGGGUAGAAUUCC
rnacentral:rRNA from 1 species